rnacentral:rRNA from 1 species
GUGGCAGCCGCCGCGGUAAUACGGAGGGUGCAAGCGUUAUCCGGAUUCAUUGGGUUUAAAGGGUGCGCAGGCGGAUACUUAAGUCAGUGGUGAAAUCCCGGGGCUCAACCCCGGAACUGCCAUUGAUACUGAAUAUCUGGAAUACGGUUGAAGUGGGCGGAAUGUAGCAUGUAGCGGUGAAAUGCAUAGAGAUGCUACAGAACACCGAUCGCGAAGGCAGCUCACUAAGCCGAUAUUGACGCUCAGGCACGAAAGCGUGGGGAGCGAACAGGAUUAGAUACCCUGGUAGUCCACGCCGUAAACGAUGAUAACUCGUUGUUGGCGACACACAGUCAGCGACUAAGCGAAAGCGAUAAGUUAUCCACCUGGGGAGUACGAUCGCAAGGUUGAAACUUAAAUGAAUUGGACGG